rnacentral:misc_RNA from 1 species
GAUGAAGAACGCAGCGAAAUGCGAUAAGUAAUGUGAAUUGCAGAAUUCAGUGAAUCAUCGAAUCUUUGAACGCACAUUGCGCCCGCCAGUAUUCUGGCGGGCAUGCCUGUCUGAGCGUCAUUUCAACCCUCAUGCCCCUAGGGCGUGGUGUUGGGGAUCGGCCAAAGCACGCGAGGGACGGCCGGCCCCUAAAUCUAGUGGCGGACCCGUCGUGGCCUCCUCUGCGAAGUAGUGAUAUUCCGCAUCGGAGAGCGACGAGCCCCUGCCGUUAAACCCCCAACUUUCCAAGGUUGACCUCAGAUCAGGUAGGAAUACCCGCUGAACUUAAGCAUAUCAAUAAGCGGAGGA